GACGAACGCUGGCGGCGUGCUUAAUACAUGCCAGUCGAACGGAAAGGUCCUGCUCUUGUUGGUCGCUCGAGUGGCGAACGGGUGUGUAACACGUGAGUAUCCUCCCCUUGACUUUGGGAUAUCUCUAGGAAACUGGGGCUAAUACCGGAUAUGAGCUCUUGCUCCAUGGUGUGCGUUGGUAAGUUUCGGCGGUUGGGGAUGGACUCGCAGCUUCCCAGCUUGUUGGUGGGGUAGUGGCUUACCAAGCCUUUGACGGCUAGCCGGCCUGGGAGGGUGACCGGCGACAAUGGGACUGAGAUACGGCCCAGACUCCUACGGGAGGCAGCAGUGGGAAAUAUUGCACAAUGGGCGGGAGCCUGAUGCAGAAACGCUGCGUGCGGAAUGACGGGUUUCGGGUUGUAAACCGCUUUCGAAUGAGACGAAGAGGGAGUGACGGUAAUGGGUAAAGAAGCACCGGCUAACUACGUG
rnacentral:rRNA from 1 species